UCUUUCUGUCCACAAUCAGUACAAUUAGUGCUUGAACUCAGGCCACGGUUUGAGCCACUACUCCUAAGAGCCACUCAGGGUCAGUGUACCGGGUUGGAUAGUGUCCCCUCCAAAUUCACACCUUCCUCAAACCAUAGAAUGUGACCUUUUUUUGGAAGCAGGAUCCUUGCAGAUGUAUAUGUUAAGAUAAGGUGAUACUGGAGUAGGGUGGGCCCGAAAAACAGACUGACCUGUGUCCUUGUAAGAAAAGACACACACCUAGCGAUACACAGAGGGGAGACGGCCAUGUGAAGACAGGCAGAGGCUGGAGUGAGGCAGCUACAAACCAAGGAAUGCCAAGGCUUGCUGGCAACCUCAGGAAACUAGGAGAGAGGGACGGGGCGGAUUCUCCCGCAAGGCUUCAGAGGGCUGCUGACACCUGAACUAACAGUCAGUGACCUCAAAUGGGCCCCAAGAGCGUCUCUGAGGCCUGAGGCGGAACCAAAGUUCACCUCAGUUAACCACAUUCAAAGUGACUGCUCCUCUCGGGGAUUGAAUUACCCCCCUGACGCACAUAUAUUGAUGUGGAAGGAUUAGGUCUUUCUGUUCUUUAUGUCCAGGCUGCCAAGAAUCAUCAGCAAACUAGCCAAGGCCUGCCGCCAGCUUCCGUGCCUCUGAAGUCCACUUUCCCUAUGUCAACGAGGAGUUGGCAAGUGGCAGGCAGUCUCUGAUCUGGUUCCCACAAACUGAUUCACACUGAGGUGAGGAAGUCUCAGCUCACAAAUUUUCCCAUUUUGCCUGAGGAGUUGCUCUUCUAAAAGGUGACUUGUAGGCUCCAGUUUCUCCCAGAGGCCCCUUCCCCACUUCGGUAAUUUAAGCCUUUUAAAAAGAAUGGG